GCCAGAUAGCUCAGUUGGUAGACUGUGAGAUUCUUAAUCCCAGGGUUGUAGGUUUGAGCCCCACAUUGAAUG